rnacentral:rRNA from 1 species
CCUACGGGGGGCAGCAGUGGGGAAUAUUGGACAAUGGGGGGAACCCUGAUCCAGCCAUGCCGCGUGUGUGAAGAAGGCCCUCGGGUUGUAAAGCACUUUCAGUGAGGAAGAACGCCUGGUGGUUAAUACCCAUCAGGAAAGACAUCACUCACAGAAGAAGCACCGGCUAACUCCGUGCCAGCAGCCGCGGUAAUACGGAGGGUGCGAGCGUUAAUCGGAAUUACUGGGCGUAAAGCGCGCGUAGGUGGCUUGAUAAGCCGGUUGUGAAAGCCCCGGGCUCAACCUGGGAACGGCAUCCGGAACUGUCAAGCUAGAGUGCAGGAGAGGAAGGUAGAAUUCCCGGUGUAGCGGUGAAAUGCGUAGAGAUCGGGAGGAAUACCAGUGGCGAAGGAGGCCUUCUGGACUGACACUGACACUGAGGUGCGAAAGCGUGGGUAGAAAACAGGAUUAGAUACCCGGGUAGUA